GACGAACGCUGGCGGCGUGCCUAAUACAUGCAAGUCGAACGGUCUUUUCUAUGGAAGCUUGCUUCCACUGAAAAGAUAGUGGCGAACGGGUGAGUAACACGUGGGUAACCUGCCCAUAAGAGGGGGAUAACAUCCGGAAACGGGUGCUAAUACCGCAUAGUUUUUCUGAUCGCAUGAUCGGGAAAGGAAAGACGGCCUUUGUGCUGUCGCUUAUGGAUGGACCCGCGGCGUAUUAGUUAGUUGGUGAGGUAACGGCUCACCAAGACGAUGAUACGUAGCCGACCUGAGAGGGUGAUCGGCCACAUUGGGACUGAGACACGGCCCAAACUCCUACGGGAGGCAGCAGUAGGGAAUCUUCCGCAAUGGACGAAAGUCUGACGGAGCAACGCCGCGUGAGUGAAGAAGGUUUUCGGAUCGUAAAACUCUGU
rnacentral:rRNA from 1 species